rnacentral:ncRNA from 1 species
GUUUCAGGGCGAGGUGUAAUUCCUCACCGGCGGUGAACAGCCUUUGCGCUGUAAGUCCGCGAACUGCCUUCUGGCAGCCGAUCUGGUCAGAAUCCAGAACCGACGGUAUAGUCCGGAUGAAAGAAA